rnacentral:tRNA from 1 species
GCCCGGAUGGCGGAACUGGCAGACGCAAGGGACUUAAAAUCCCUUGGGGGUCAAUCCCCCGUGUGGGUUCAAAUCCCACUCCGGGCA